ACGUGGGAAACUGAGACAGAAGAGUUACCACGAAUUUGGGGCCAGCCUGGGCUAUGCAGCAAGUUCCAAGCCAGCCACAGCUAUACAACGAGACACUAAUUUUCAGAAUAAAACUUCCUAACGUGAGUGACUGUACUGAGCCAUGAGCCAAACUAGAUUAGGAUGGGCCAUCAGAGUACAGCCUGGAACUUUAUCUGGAGGGAAGAAGUCAGACACACGGUGGCUAGGAGGCUGUGGGACAACAGACACUUUGAUUUCUCUCGUCUUCCACAGUAACUUCCUGUUGUUUAACACCACCUCUUUCGGGGUGCUUCAUUAGGGUGGUUCCAGGAAAUGAAUGCCGUAUUCACGUGGCAUUGACAUCAUCCUUCCAAAGGCAAAGGCUGAGUUGUUACCAAGUUUUUGUGAAAACUAACAAUGUGGCAGGCAACAAACAUCUCUGUUCUUGCUUCUGUGUCUUCCCAGGACAGAAAUUAAAAAGAGAGAUCAGGAAGUGAGCAAGAACUGGCUGGGGCCGGGCUAUAAAAAAAUCUCAGAGCCCACGCCUAGUGACGUACUUCCUCCAGCAAGGCUCCACCUCCUUGCGCUUAUAAAACCUUCUUACUCCUUGCGGCCAGCCCGGGACCACAUGUUAAACAUAUGAGUCUAUGGGGGACAUUUUACACUGAACCCACAAGAGCAUCUCUGCCCACAGAGGUGACCCAGCUUCAAUGGGGGCUCUGGCUGUGGGUUUGCUGUUGUCAUCUCCGGUCCCAACACAGUCAGAGAACCUUCAUUAUGACAUCCGUUACGUGGUCUGUUGUCUGUCUCCCAGAGUGUUGCGUCUUUGAGGUUGGAGACUAUAAAGACCCCACGGACGCAGAGGAAUCUGUGUUUGAGGAGAGGGAGGGGGCAUCUCCAUCAGUCUCUUUAUUCGGGUUCUGCCUCUGAGGCUGCUGGUGCCUCUCUGUAUCUUCCCUAGUAAUGGUGCCUCUCUGGAGACAUAAAUGAGAUGCCCCUCCCCUCUCCAGUCAGGCCUCAGAUGUCAGCCACAAGAGGGGAGACGUGAAGAAAGGAUGGCUGAUGGUAUGAGAAGAGAGGAUAUGUAGGCGAGUCUUGGAGGAAAGGAGGAGUCAGAGUGAACAUGGUGAGUAUGGGGGCUGCUUGGGAGUAUCAGGGAUUCACGCGCAGUUGGAAAACAUGCGCUUUUAUUCUACGGGAUGACAC